UCUUGCGAAUUUUUGGUAAGC
rnacentral:piRNA from 1 species